rnacentral:tRNA from 1 species
GGGCGAUUAGCUCAGCUGGUUAGAGCACCUGCCUUACAAGCAGGGGGUCGCAAGUUCGAAUCUUGCAUCGCCCA